rnacentral:rRNA from 1 species
CGGCAACAGCUCAAAUUUGAAAUCUGGCCUCUUUGGGGUCCGAGUUGUAAUUUGGAGAGGAUACUUUUGAUGCGGUGCCUUCCGAGUUCCCUGGAACGGGACGCCAUAGAGGGUGAGAGCCCCGUCUGGUUGGAUGCCAAAUCUCUGUAAAGUUCCUUCGAC